UGGGGAAUAUUGCACAAUGGGCGCAAGCCUGAUGCAGCCAUGCCGCGUGUAUGAAGAAGGCCUUCGGGUUGUAAAGUACUCUCAGCGAGGAGGAAGGCGUUGUAGUUAAUAGCUGCAGCGAUUGACGUUACUCGCAGAAGAAGCACCGGCUAACUCCGUGCCAGCAGCCGCGGUAAUACGGAGGGUGCAAGCGUUAAUCGGAAUUACUGGGCGUAAAGCGCACGCAGGCGGUCUGACAAGUCGGAUGUGAAAUCCCCGGGCUCAACCUGGGAACUGCAUUCGAAACUGGCAGGCUAGAGUCUUGUAGAGGGGGGUAGAAUUCCAGGUGUAGCGGUGAAAUGCGUAGAGAUCUGGAGGAAUACCGGUGGCGAAGGCGGCCCCCUGGACAAAGACUGACGCUCAGGUGCGAAAGCGUGGGGAGCAAACAGGAUU
rnacentral:rRNA from 1 species